rnacentral:rRNA from 1 species
AGUGAACGCUGGCGGUAGGCCUAACACAUGCAAGUCGAACGGCAGCACAGUAAGAGCUUGCUCUUACGGGUGGCGAGUGGCGGACGGGUGAGGAAUACAUCGGAAUCUACUUUUUCGUGGGGGAUAACGUAGGGAAACUUACGCUAAUACCGCAUACGACCUACGGGUGAAAGCAGGGGAUCUUCGGCCCUUGCGCGAUUGAAUGAGCCGAUGUCGGAUUAGCUAGUUGGCGGGGUAAAGGCCCACCAAGGCGACGAUCCGUAGCUGGUCUGAGAGGAUGAUCAGCCACACUGGAACUGAGACACGGUCCAGACUCCUACGGGAGGCAGCAGUGGGGAAUAUUGGACAAUGGGCGCAAGCCUGAUCCAGCCAUACCGCGUGGGUGAAGGAGGCCUUCGGGUUGUAAAGCCCUUUUGUUGGGAAAGAAAAGCAGCAGGUUAAUACCCCGCUGUUCUGACGGUACCCAAAGAAUAAGCACCGGCUAACUUCGUG